rnacentral:rRNA from 1 species
UACGGAGGGUGCAAGCGUUAUCCGGAUUCACUGGGUUUAAAGGGCGCGUAGGCGGGCUGUCAAGUCUGGGGUGAAAUGCCGCGGCUCAACCGUGGAACUGCCUUAGAUACUGACGGCCUCGAGGAAGGUAGGGGCAUGCGGAACUGUAGGUGGAGCGGUGAAAUGCGUUGAUAUCUACAGGAACUCCGGUGGCGAAAGCGGCGUGCUGGACCUUUUCUGACGCUGAGGCGCGAAAGCUAGGGGAGCAAACGGG